CUACCAAUUUUGUAAGGGUUCAAGACAAGUACACAGACAUUUCAAUAAAGUAUGAUAAAGUUAAGGAGAGUGAUAAAGCAGCCAGGCGAACUCCAUGAAGGGCACCUCACCCGCUGGGGCGGAGGGAGUUCUAGGAGUGGCUCCGGGAAGGAGUGUGCUGGGAAGGAGAAGUCGGGAAAACAGACCAAAGCCGGGCUUGGGGGUGCUAGAGACACUCUGGGGCCCUCCAUCCACCUUAAGGAAGGAGGACCCAAGGAUGGGGAAGUCAGAUCGUAGUUUUCCAGUCAAGUGAGAAAGCAGCCAGUAGAAAGGGAAGCUGGAAAUGGUGAGAUUUGGUUUAAGCCGGAAGAGCGGGUUGCGCCAGGGACCAGAAACUAAAGUGGAGAGCUCUGGAGGGCACGGCUGGAGAGGAAGGACAAGGACGUGAGAAUGACGGUGGGUGUGACUUAUUGGGAUGGAGGCAGGGAAAUUGGAGGGGGCGGGGGGAGGGGUGAGCGCAUGCGUUGUGUUCACACGGGCGUGUGCCUGUGCGCCAGCGCGCAAGCGCGCGCAUAUUAAAACUCCAGCUGAUAAAAUUGACAAAGGCGAGAGAGCCUCUCGUCCCUCGCGGCCACCGAGCUGGCGCAGCCAAUGAUGCCCGAGGCGAGGGGGAGGGACCAGUGGAGCGCCGGGCAGAGCCAGACCCAAGCAAAAACAAAGCCGUCUCUCUGAAACAAAACCGAAACAGACGUGGCCGGGGAAAGGAAAAUAAAUCCUUGGCCAAAAGAGAUUUGACGACAAGAAAAGAAGACCGUCUCCAGACUGUCCCCGCUGGCACUAGCGGGACCCGGCCAGAAGUGCCUCGUGAGUGACAUUGAGGUCGGUGGCUCAGUACUGUCAGCCUCCAAACACCAUGGUGCAGAGAACGAGGUCCUCCGCAGUGGAACAGGCGCAGCGCCAAGGAAACCUUUUUCUCUCUAGUCCUUACUGCCAACCAGGGAAAUAACGCCUCGGCAUUUCUGCCUCGUAAUACUGCUUCCUGUACUCCACCCCAGAUUCGCUGCACCGCAGCCUCUCAGCCCCACCCCCACCGCCCACUGUGAGUCACCCCCUCUCUCCCUUCUCUAAACCAGAGUAUCGCAGAGCAAGGCCCUAUUGUGGUUACCCAUAAAUGCAAAGGCGCGGAGACACCAGUACCUCUAUAAGGAGCUGGCAUUUUAAUUAGCACACUCCAGCAGCCAUAAACCCCGACUGGUGUCCCACCUCUCCUCCCCCUCCCAGUGCCCUCCUCCAACCUCCCCACUCACCCCCAUCUAUGUAAAAAAAAAAAAAAAAAAAAAAGCCAUAAAGCCUUUCUCCAAUCGCCUUCUUGGAGUUUAUGCAACCCCCAGAACACAGGUUGAUUGGAAAGGUCUCUCUCCUGGAUAACAACAAUUCAAUGUGCCUUGACAUUUUAAUAGC